rnacentral:misc_RNA from 1 species
GGUAUCGUGUUGCAGAGGUUGAAUGGUUACAGGAUGGUCCACCGAAAAGGAGAGCACAAUUACAGGAUAAUACAAAUAAUGCAGCAGAAUAUGCUUAAUCAUGGUUAAGGAGGGCAAAGGAAUCUGCUAGACGAGAUCGAAGAUGACUUGAGAAACUAUACAACGUAGAAGUGAUGAUGCCCACACCACUGGAUCCAGAGCGCUUCAGUUUCUGGCUUGAUACAUUAUCAGACAGGAAGCCUUAUGAAAAACUGGAGCUCCUGCGCAUAAGGGAUA